rnacentral:rRNA from 1 species
UACGGGGGGGGCAAGCGUUGUUCGGAAUUACUGGGCGUAAAGGGUUCGUAGGUGGCCAACUUAGUCAGACGUGAAAUCCCUCAGCUUAACUGGGGAACUGCGUCUGAUACUGGAUGGCUUGAGGUUGGGAGAGGGAUGCGGAAUUCCAGGUGUAGCGGUGAAAUGCGUAGAUAUCUGGAGGAACACCGGUGGCGAAGGCGGCAUCCUGGACCAAUUCUGACGCUGAGGAGCGAAAGCCAGGGGAGCAAACGGG